rnacentral:rRNA from 1 species
UACGAAGGGGGGCUAGCGUUGCUCGGAAUCACUGGGCGUAAAGCGCACGUAGGCGGGUCGCUAAGUCGGGGGUGAAAUCCUGGAGCUCAACUCCAGAACUGCCUUCGAUACUGGCGACCUUCGAGUCCGGGAGAGGUGAGUGGAACUCCGAGUGUAGAGGUGAAAUUCGUAGAUAUUCGGAAGAACACCAGUGGCGAAGGCGGCUCACUGGCCCGGUACUGACGCUGAGGUGCGAAAGCGUGGGGAGCAAACAGG